UUGACUGUUUUGUUUGAAGCGUGCAUUACUGUGUAAAGGUGAGCUCUGACUGCUCUGCCCUGACAUUUCACAGACGCUCCCCGUGGGACACACACGGCUGUUUAUGCCCAUUUCAAAGAGGAGGAAGAAAAAAAAUCUGUGAUAAUCUCGCCAAUUAUGCACGCAAGCUGAUCCAAACACCUGGCCUUUCUUUCGAGGGCCAUGAGCGAUGACCUCACUGCACUCAUCAUUCACAGUAAAAGAUGACAUCAACAGAAGACCAC